UGGUACGCAGGGAGGGAGGGAGGGAGCAAGCAGGGCAAGCAGGGGCCCGAUCGAUCGAUCGCGGAGUGACGGAGGUGCCCCACCUGUCGCAGCCUCGCACGUGACUCGGGUUCUCCGCUUCAUUCCCUCCUCAUCCUUUCCUGUAGCUUCUGAUUGAUGGGCAUUCUUUCAAAACAAGGCUACUACCAUGGUCUCUGUGCGCCUUCUCGCUGCCUCGCCUGCCUGUUCGUCAUUCUUCAAUCAGAAGAGCUCGAUCGCAGCAGCUAGACUUGGGAAGAAUCCUGUAUAAUCUCACUGUUUGCUGCGAGGCUGGUACCACGCGAGAAGGCAUCCGCAAUGGGGGGCUGGAGGAGGGACCUGGGUUUUAGGGUUUGCGGAGAGAAGCACCCACCCACCCACCCAUGAGCAGCGAGUGAGAUGCGUUUCUUUCUGCUGCGGAAGAGAGUGUGAUGAUUGUGGCGCCUGACAAUAUCUGCCUUUUGGCCUCUUCCUCCUUUUCUCCGCUUCGGUCUCCGUGAAGACUCGUCCUCUCUCCCCCCCUCUCUCUCUCUCUCUCUCCCUUUCUGUUUUUUUCUUUCUGUCUGUUUGUCUGUCUUUCUCUCUUCCGUCCUCUUCUGCUCGUGUCACUGUGGUCGUAGCCCCUCUCGAGUCGUCUCUUCUCUUCUCUUCUCUUCUCUUCCAUCCUCGCCUUCCCUUUUUGUGCGUAGGUCUGGGCGUAGGCUUUUUCCCCCCUCCCUCCCGCUCCCCCGUGCCCUGCUGCUGCUGCUGCUGCUGCUUUGUUGCAUUGUCUGCUACGAUUGCAGCAUCAGGGCAGUAGCGCUGUCCUUCCUCAUGGCCCUAAUCACCCUCAAAAAGCCACUUCUCAGCAGUUAAUGCAAUGGCGUUGGCAUGCACGUACUCCAACACCACCUUGUAUCUCUUUGUAUGUAUGUAUAUGCCACCGCGCUGCUGACGACGUAGCCCCCACUCAGGUGAACCAAAUAUACUGCCCACUCCGUCUAUCCAUCUAUAUAUAUAUAUAUAUAUAUAUAUAUUUCUUUCUACCUAUCUUAUGUCCGUUCGCUUCUUCUUAUCACCAUGCCAAUAUAUAUUCUUCACAUCCCAUAACUCUAUCUAACAGUCACUUCAGUGAUAGGGCUGAGACUUAGAUUCAAAAACCUUUGUAAUAAAUGAACCUGUUGGCAGGUGACAUUAUACCAAGCCAUGUAUCCAAUUUUACUGCGAUGGUUCUGCAGAAAAUGAAUCCAUGGGUGAAGGUCAAACUCAAAGUUUGUCACUACAAGCUUAUUUU